rnacentral:lncRNA from 1 species
UAUUUUGACAGAACAAAAGGUCAUGAAGAGCUGGGCAUUGUGGCACAUACCUGAAAUCUUAACUACUCAGGAGGGUGAGGCAGGAGGAUUUUGGGUUCAAGGCCAGCCUUGACAGCAUAGCAAGUCUUGUCUGAAAAUAAUAUAAUAAAAAUGGUGGGGCAAGGAGGUGGGAGACAAAAAUGAACAAAGUAUGUUAUGCACAAGUACAAAUCUGCCAAGAUGAAACCCAUUAAUCUGUGUAACCAACAUGUACCAAUAAAAUGAUAUGAAAAUGACUGGGGAUGUAGCUCAGUGGUCCCUAGGCUCAAUUCUCAGUACCACAUACAUGUACACAUAUGUGUGCACACACAGACACAGACACACACAAGGUCAUGGUGAAAAGCAGAAGAGUUUCUUGGAAAGAACAGAGGUGGGUAGAGUUUCAGAAGAAGUCUUGGCCCACAGGAAAGUUCCGUGUGCUGGAAUGUGUACAAAGGACCUGAGCAGGGAAGAAGGAUUAGAAAGAACUGACCUGAUGAGCAAAUCCCGCUCCCUUUGA